rnacentral:lncRNA from 1 species
UUCAUUUCAUAUUAUAUCAGCAAUUUACAGCUUGCUAAGCCAACAACAUAUUUGCGGCUUGCCAAAUCAUGACACGAACUAUGACCACAGUUGUGCCAACCACAGAUGUGCCAACCACAGUGGUCUUACAUGUAAACUAUGAUCACAACCAUACUUCGCCAAAUGUGACCCCUACGAUCAUAUCGCGUCACCACUCUCGUUAGAGGGUACGUCGUUGUCCAUAGGGAGU